rnacentral:rRNA from 1 species
UCCGCUGACCUUGGAGAACGGGAAACACCUCUUCCCAUUCCGAACAGAGAAGUUAAGCCGUUCAUCGCCGAUGGUACUUGGCGGGCAACUGCCUGGGAGAGUAGGACGUUAUCGGGA